UACGUAGGGUGCGAGCGUUUGUCCGGAAUUACUGGGCGUAAAGAGCUCGUAGGUGGUUUGUCGCGUUGUUUGUGAAAUCUCACGGCUUAACUGUGAGCGUGCGGGCGAUACGGGCAGACUGGAGUACUGCAGGGGAGACUGGAAUUCCUGGUGUAGCGGUGGAAUGCGCAGAUAUCAGGAGGAACACCGGUGGCGAAGGCGGGUCUCUGGGCAGUAACUGACGUGGAGGAGCGAAAGCGUGGGGAGCGAACAGG
rnacentral:rRNA from 1 species